AAAAAGGGCGGGGCCCUCGCGGCCCAACCUCCCACCCGUGUCUCUCUCUACCUGUUGCUUUGGCGGGCCCACCGGGGCCACCCGGUCGCCGGGGGACGUCCGUCUCCGGGCCCGCGCCCGCCGAAGCGCUCUGUGAACCCUGAUGAAGAUGGGCUGUCUGAGUCGAAUGAAAAUUGUCAAAACUUUCAACAAUGGAUCUCUUGGUUCCGGCAUCGAUGAAGAACGCAGCGAAAUGCGAUAAGUAAUGUGAAUUGCAGAAUUCCGUGAAUCAUCGAAUCUUUGAACGCACAUUGCGCCCCCUGGCAUUCCGGGGGGCAUGCCUGUCCGAGCGUCAUUUCUGCCCUCAAGCCCGGCUUGUGUGUUGGGUGUGGUCCCCCCGGGGACCUGCCCGAAAGGCAGCGGCGACGUCCGUCUGGUCCUCGAGCGUAUGGGGCUUUGUCACUCGCUCGGGACGGAUCGGCGGAGGUUGGUCACCACCACAGUUUUACCACGGUUGACCUCGGAUCAGGUAGGAGUUACCCGCUGAACUUAAGCAUAUCAAUAGCCGGAGGAA
rnacentral:rRNA from 1 species